UCCGUAGGGUGCAAGCGUUGUCCGGAAUUAUUGGGCGUAAAGAGCUUGUAGGCGGUUUGUCGCGUCUGCUGUGAAAUUUCGGGGCUCAACCCCGAACUUGCAGUGGGUACGGGCAGACUAGAGUGUGGUAGGGGAGACUGGAAUUCCUGGUGUAGCGGUGAAAUGCGCAGAUAUCAGGAGGAACACCGAUGGCGGAGGCAGGUCUCUGGGCCACUACUGACGCUGAGAAGCGAAAGCAUGGGGAGCGAACAGG
rnacentral:rRNA from 1 species